UAGGGAAUAUUAGUAAUGGGCGAAAGCCUGAACUAGCAACGCCGCGUGUGCGGAGAAGGCCUUCGGGUUGUAAAGCACUUUUUGAGAGGAUGAGGAAGGACGGUACUCUCAGAAUAAGUCUCGGCUAACUACGUGCCAGCAGCCGCGGUAACACGUAGGAGGCAAACGUUAUCCGGAUUUACUGGGCGUAAAGCGCGUGUAGGUGGUUUGGUAAGUAGGGCGUGAAAGCUCCUGGCUCAACUGGGAGAGGCCGUUCUUAACUGCCGAACUAGAGGAUGGUAGAGGGAGGUGGAAUUCCGGGUGUAGCGGUGGAAUGCGCAGAUAUCCGGAGGAACACCAGUGGCGAAAGCGGCCUCCUGGACCAUUCCUGACACUCAGACGCGAAAGCUAGGGUAGCAAACGG
rnacentral:rRNA from 1 species